GUAGACAUUGUACUGCUAUAAACGGGUUACACAGACCAUAGAGAAUCUGGUCUUUAUCAGAGAUUAUAACGUGUAACUUUCAGGAAUAUUACAAAUGGAUAAUAAAAGAGUAUUUUAAAAAAAUUCCAAAGUAGAAAGAUUACAAGAUAUAUUCAGUUCUGUGUAACUGUAUAUAAUGAUUAAUUUCCCUUGAUAGUUAUAGCUACUUAAUAUUGGCGAGUAUACUAAUUAGUCACCUCAUCAAACAAUUCUCAUGCUGUCAAUAUUUAAUUAUUUUAUUUUGCUUCAAGACUAAUUGUUCCUAUGGCUAAAAGCAUUUGGACUAAAGUAAAGAGUUUAAAACUUAGCAUAUCCAACAUGUUUUCUAUUGAUAGAUCAAAAACUUAAUCUAAGAAGGAAGACAAUAACCAAAGAGGUUUUUAAACACCAAGAUACUUAAAAGCAUUUAGCCUGCUUAACACUUCACAUCCAAACUGUGAGCUGUGUUCUUGUGGAUAUGCUGAAUUAGUGUACAAGGUCAGAGUCCCUCAAGUUAUUAUCAAGGCAAUGUGAAUGCAAAUGUUAACUAGAAUAUCAAUCAUACGUAUAUGCAGAUAAAUAAGAAUUUUUAUACAGAAUUCAAAAUAGAAACAGUUAUCUGCACUAAACAUUUUUUCCAGGAAUAAUCUGACAGUAAACAGUAAUUUUGUUAUUCAUUUUCAUUACAUUGCUGUAAAGCCCUGGAGACUAACAUGAAAAACAAAGCAUGUCUUGUCUGUAUAAAUUUCCUGUGUAACUGUUAAAGUCUCUGUCUAAUAUCAGCAUAAAAAUAAUUUACUUUACAAUGUCAUAACAAAGAAAAAAAUAGUCUAGCCUUAACAGAAAAAAAGAGACCUGGAUAUAUUUUAUUUAAUUAAGUUUAAUUCAUGAGAACAAAUUGCUAUAAGAGAAAUGCUGAAGCUGUGGAGACUUACUCCUGCUUUUCAGUAGAAGUGGGGCUGAUUUCAGGCUUAAGAGACCAGUGAAUCUGUCAGCCAAAUACCAAGUAACUGUAGGUACUGUCACAUUGUUAAAUGAUACUAUUUGGACUCAAAUGUAGCCUAUGUGAACUGAAAAUUUCUAUUGAGAACUCCAUCUUGUGUUUCUGUGAACAAAGAUUUUAUGCAUCUUUGCUUUUCUCACUAGGAAUGAGGGCACAAUAUUUUUCUUUUGUUGCCAAAGUUGAUUAAAAACAUCUUUUUUGCCCCUGGGAAGUAUAACUCUUUUUUACCUAGAAGAAUGUGAGGGAAAAGUUCAAUGAAGAUCAAGAAACUAGUAUCCUACAACCUGAGCUCACAUCAUCCUCUUAAAUUCUGAAGAUGAGAUUGAAAUAUUAGAUUUAUCUCUAUUUUUCCUUUAGCUACUAACAAGCUGUAGACAAAUACUAUUGGGCUUUAUUUUAGAAAAUGAUAAAUUUUCAGAUACAUCACAGUUCUGGAGAAGGAUUUUUACUUCAUUCAAGUUUUUCUAGGAAGCCUCUAUCUUUUAUGACUAAAAGUUCAGGAUUUCAAGGGAAAAGCAAAAAACUUAUGCUCCAGAGAAAAACAUUGAACAACUAUUGCAGACAGUGAAUGAGCAAUGACCACCAACUCAUACUUUGAGAGCAGUCAAUCUAUAAAUUUUUUCAGGCUAGAAUUAAAGGUUUAUCAGGAAAAGUUACUUUGUCCUAUAAAGAAAUAUAAAUGAAAUUGCUAAAUGAAGGCACAUGCUGACAGAGUAGAGGGGAAAAAAUCCUGGCAAAACUUUUCUCUGUGGAGUGCUUAACUAGGUAAAAUGUUUUGAAAACUAAAUCAUUUUAUAGGAUCAUUACACUUGAUAGUAGCUUGAUAAUUCCUAGAGGGACUCUGUACCAAAAAGCUUUUUUGCAAACAACAACUAAAAAUUCUACUCAAGCUCCUAAAAACCUGGGAAACUUAGGGGUAUAUCCACAAUAUAAAUUCCAUUUGCAUUAGUAACACUUCUCUAUAGGAGGAAAAUCUGAAAACUUAAACUAAGCAUUCUCGGGCCUAGAAAAAUUGUGCUACUAAAACAUGAGCCAAGGGCAACACUACAUACUUUCAUCAAAGGCUUAGACUAGCACCUCUCCUGUGUGACAGGAGAAAAAAAUGAUGAGGUUGAGGCAGAGAUUUGGUUGGUUAUUAACGACUCAGUGCUCAACAAAGCAGAAUAAAACUAUACAGUCAGAGAAAUUCUCCCCAGUUAGCUGCUAUUCUACUGCAUCACUCAAGUCUGCAGAGGAAACUAUGCAAGAAGAUGACUGGAGCCAAUUCAAUUCAAGAGGGAAAAAAAGGAAGCUAUUGAGAGACCAAGUUAAAGGAAGAAACUCUUUCUGAGCAUUCUCCUAGGUAGAGAAGGACUGAUGACCACUCACAUCAUUUCCAUCACCCUCAUGUACCUGGGCUGAAAAAACCCAAAGAGUUGUUCUAAAAGAUGCUGUUCUUUGAUAAAUGCAUAGUAAAUUAGCUGUGG